UACAGAGGGGGCAAGCGUUGUUCGGAAUUACUGGGCGUAAAGGGCGCGUAGGCGGCCUUCUAAGUCGAACGUGAAAUCCCCGGGCUCAACCCGGGAACUGCGUCCGAUACUGGAAGGCUUGAAUCCGGGAGAGGGAUGUGGAAUUCCAGGUGUAGCGGUGGAAAUGCGCAGAUAUCAGGAGGAACACCGGUGGCGAAGGCGGGCCUCUGGGCCGAUACUGACGCUGAGGAGCGAAAGCGUGGGGAGCGAACAGG
rnacentral:rRNA from 1 species